rnacentral:rRNA from 1 species
UGUAAGUACGAGCCCGAUCGUACGGCGAAACUGCGAAUGGCUCAUUAAAUCAGUUACGGUUCAUUUGAUCGUGCGGAUACCACCGGUACGUGGAUAACUGUGGUAAUUCUAGAGCUAAUACAUGCUAAAAGCGCCGACCUUCGCGGGAAGGCGUGCAUUUAUCAGACCGCGUCGGCCCCCGGCUUCUGUCGGGGUCUCGUGGUGACUCUGGAUAACUGAGCGGAUCGCGCGGCUUUCAGGCCGGCGACGGAUCAUUCGAGUGUCUGCCCUAUCAACUCGAGUCGGUACGGUCUCGGCCUACCGCGGUUCUUACGGGUAACGGGGAAUCGGGGUUCGAUUCCGGAGAGGGAGCCCGAGAAACGGCUACCACUUCCAAGGAAGGCAGCAGGCGCGCAAAUUACCCACUCCCGACGCGGGGAGGUAGUGACGAAAAAUAACGGCGCGGGACUCGAUUCGAGCGCCCGCGAUCGGAAUGAGCGAACUCCAAACCGGUCAGCCGCGCGAGGCGGCGAGCGAGUAUCGAUCGGAGGGCAAGUCUGGUGCC